GAUGAACGCUGGCGGCGUGCCUAAUACAUGCAAGUCGAGCGAACAGAUAAGGAGCUUGCUCCUUUGACGUUAGCGGCGGACGGGUGAGUAACACGUGGGUAACCUACCUAUAAGACUGGGAUAACUUCGGGAAACCGGAGCUAAUACCGGAUAACAUUUGGAACCGCAUGGUUCUAAAGUGAAAGAUGGUUUUGCUAUCACUUAUAGAUGGACCCGCGCCGUAUUAGCUAGUUGGUAAGGUAACGGCUUACCAAGGCGACGAUACGUAGCCGACCUGAGAGGGUGAUCGGCCACACUGGAACUGAGACACGGUCCAGACUCCUACGGGAGGCAGCAGUAGGGAAUAUUGCGCAAUGGGCGAAAGCCUGACGGAGCAACGCCGCGUGAGUGAUGAAGGGCUUCGGCUCGUAAAACUCUGUUAUUAGGGAAGAACAAACGUGUAAGUAACUGUGGACGUCUUGACGGUACCUAAUCAGAAAGCCACGGCUAACUACGUG
rnacentral:rRNA from 1 species